rnacentral:rRNA from 1 species
UACGAAGGGUGCAAACGUUGCUCGGAAUUAUUGGGCGUAAAGGGCUCGUAGGCGGUCUGUCGCGUCGGGAGUGAAAACUCAGGGCUUAACCCUGAGCCUGCUUCCGAUACGGGCAGACUAGAGGUAUGCAGGGGAGAACGGAAUUCCUGGUGUAGCGGUGGAAUGCGCAGAUAUCAGGAGGAACACCGGUGGCGAAGGCGGUUCUCUGGGCAUUACCUGACGCUGAGGAGCGAAAGUGUGGGGAGCGAACAGG